UAUAUCGUAAACCCUUCACACAACGCAAAAAAGAAAAAAAGAAAAGAAAAGAAAAUACUCUUACCUUCUUCCCCAAGUUUCUUUCUUUCCAACUUUCUGGCAAACAUAUUCUUCAUAACAUUUUGAUCGGAGUUAUUAUCAAAGAUGAUGACACGUGGAGCGUCAAGGAUGACCCGACUAGUAAUGGGUCAUAUGGGUCCACGUUACUUUUCAACUGCAGUUAUCCGAAAUGAUGGUUUAACCGGAGUUACCGGUUUGCCGGUGGAGAAAGCGGUGGUGACGUGGGCUAGGAAUUUUCCGGUGAUGGGUUCACGUAGUGCAAGUACCAUGGCUUUGAAUGAAAAGGAGCAAGAAAAGAAAGUGGAGAACGGCGGCGCUAAGGGCGGUGAUGAGAAAUCAGUAGUGAGUUAUUGGGGUGUUCAGCCAUCAAAGAUUACUAAACCAGAUGGUACUGAAUGGAAAUGGAAUUGUUUUAGGCCAUGGGAGACGUACCAGGCAGAUAUGUCAAUAGAUCUGACGAAACACCAUGCACCUGUCACGUUUCUGGACAAAUUUGCUUAUUGGACUGUUAAGUCCCUUCGAUACCCCACUGAUAUAUUUUUUCAGAGGAGAUAUGGUUGUAGAGCAAUGAUGCUGGAAACUGUUGCCGCAGUGCCUGGAAUGGUGGGAGGUAUGUUGUUGCACUGCAAGUCCCUGAGGCGAUUCGAACAGAGUGGUGGGUGGAUCAAAGCACUGUUGGAAGAAGCUGAAAAUGAGAGGAUGCAUCUCAUGACUUUCAUGGAAGUUGCCAAGCCAAAGUGGUACGAGCGAGCCUUGGUCUUCACAGUACAAGGUGUCUUCUUCAACGCCUACUUUGCGACUUACCUUCUUUCCCCAAAGUUGGCUCAUCGUAUCGUGGGGUACUUGGAAGAAGAGGCUAUCCAUUCGUACACUGAGUUCCUCAAGGAAUUGGACAAGGGUAACAUUGAGAACGUCCCUGCUCCUGCUAUUGCCAUUGAUUACUGGCGCCUACCUAAGGACUCCACUCUCCGUGAUGUUGUCUUGGUUGUUAGGGCUGAUGAGGCUCAUCACCGCGAUGUCAACCACUUUGCAUCCGACAUUCAUUAUCAAGGACAACAGCUGAAGGACUCGCCAGCACCACUUGGGUAUCACUAAGCCACUAAUAAUACAAAGAGAGAACAAAAUAAAUGUCACUAUUAUGUGUUCUGUUUUGGACUGGCCUCCAGGGUGACCAGGCCUGAUCAAUCGUUGGUGGCGCCAUUGAAUUCGUGAAGGAAUUGGAACAAAGUUUAUACAAUCUCUUGAACCUCAAAAAUUCUUACUAAUUAGAAGGUGGAAGGACCAAACACAACCUCCUUUGCAGCAGUCACAGUAUUUUUUGACCCCAUUUUCCCAACUUUUCUCUUAUCCACAGUACACACGUUGUCUGCAAGACAGGACUUGCAGACAUUGAAGUGAAUCUCAUUGAAACCUAUGCAAGCGUUAGAAUCAUCUCAAGUCAAUGGAGGGACUAUCAGCGAGAAGCCACUGCACUGUGAUAAUUGACCCGCAGAUCAAAUUUGUCGAACUUUAACAGUGACCGGCAGAAGAAGCUACAUCUUUGGAGAAAAGUGGGUGGAUUUUGCCCAUCUGUAAGAAAAUUGCAGAAGUGGUGGAAUUUUGAAGACGUGGGAUAAAAGGGUAUCAACAGCGAAAUCAAUUAAUAUCACUUGCAGUAUCUUCUCAAUGAUCUAGAACUUCAUAUUGCAUCUCACAGAGAUUUAUAGAUCGAUAAUCUAUCGGAUUGGGAGAAGAGAUCAAUGGAAGGAAUUAGCAGCAACAAGAGGGUUUGUGAAGGAGCAUGAGUGGUUUGCAAAGACUUUGAUGCCAUAAGAUUUGCAGCUGAAAGAAGAAACAGCGGCAAUCACUUCAGCAAUGCUUAAAUUCUCAGAGAUUAUUGAUGAUCUUGAACUAAUAGAUCUUUGAGGGAAUUAUACAUAGAACUGGGGGAAUAAUCACGAUAUCUCGUCAAGAAUCGACAGUUUUUUUGUUCUCAAUGAGUUGGAAUGAGGAUUUCAACAACAUAGAAUGAUCUUUGCCUCCAAAACUCUCAUCUGAUCAUUGUCCCAUUUUAUUACAGUGUGAAGGGAAUGGGAACAUAUACCAAGUCUGCAUUUUAAGUUUGAGAAUUGGUGGCUUGAUGUUAAGGGACUCACAGAAAAAGUGGAGUUCUCUUGAGGUGCAAGGAAGGCUUAACUACAUUUUAGCUUGCUAAUUGAGAUUGUUGAAAUCAAAAUUGAAAGAAUGGAAUGCCACUAUGGCAACCUGGAAAAUAAGAAAACUGGCGCAUUUAAUCAAAUUUUAGCUAUGGACAACUUGGAGGAACAGGAAGACUCAAUGAUGAGAAAUUCCUUGUAAAAAGCUAGUUUAGUGUUUGAGGAGAUUGCCAAAUAUGAAAAGAUACCAUGGAGGCAGAGAUCGAGGGUACUUUAGCUAAACAGGGGGAUAAAAAUACUAGUAGUAAGUUUUUUUCCAAAGGAUGACAAAUGCAUAUAGUAGAAGAUUUAAUAAUAAUGACGAGCUGGAACAGAGAAUUGGAGGCCUAAAUUCAAUCAUAUGAGACUUUGAUAAACAGGAGAUGCUUGAGUGUAUUAAAAUGUGAGAAGUUCACAAAGCCCCAGGUCCAGACGGAUAUCCAAUGAGUUCUUUUUUCAGAAAUAUUUGAAGGAAGACAUCAUGAAGACUUUGAAA